rnacentral:rRNA from 1 species
GAGUUUGAUCGUGGCUCAGAUUGAACGCUGGCGGCAUGCCUUACACAUGCAAGUCGAGCGGCAGCGCGGGGGCAACCCUGGCGGCGAGCGGCGAACGGGUGAGUAAUACAUCGGAACGUGUCCUGUCGUGGGGGAUAACCAGUCGAAAGAUUGGCUAAUACCGCAUGACCUCGUAAGAGAAAAGCGGGGGACCGUAAGGCCUCGCGCGACUGGAGCGGCCGAUGUCGGAUUAGCUAGUUGGCGGGGUAAAAGCCCACCAAGGCGACGAUCCGUAGCUGGUUUGAGAGAACGACCAGCCACACUGGGACUGAGACACGGCCCAGACUCCUACGGGAGGCAGCAGUGGGGAAUUUUGGACAAUGGGGGCAACCCUGAUCCAGCCAUGCCGCGUGUGUGAAGAAGGCCUUCGGUUGU